UUGAACUGAAGAGUUUGAUCCUGGCUCAGAUUGAACGCUGGCGGCAUGCCUUACACAUGCAAGUCGAACGGCAGCACGGGCUUCGGCCUGGUGGCGAGUGGCGAACGGGUGAGUAAUACAUCGGAACAUGUCCUGUAGUGGGGGAUAGCCCGGCGAAAGCCGGAUUAAUACCGCAUACGAUCCACGGAUGAAAGCGGGGGACCUUCGGGCCUCGCGCUAUAGGGUUGGCCGAUGGCUGAUUAGC
rnacentral:rRNA from 1 species